rnacentral:rRNA from 1 species
UACAGAGGGGGCAAGCGUUGUUCGGAAUUACUGGGCGUAAAGGGCGCGUAGGCGGCCUUCUAAGUCGAACGUGAAAUCCCCGGGCUCAACCCGGGAACUGCGUCCGAUACUGGCAGGCUUGAAUUCGGGAGAGGGAUGUGGAAUUCCAGGUGUAGCGGUGAAAUGCGUAGAUAUCUGGAGGAACACCGGUGGCGAAGGCGGCAUCCUGGACCGAUAUUGACGCUGAUGCGCGAAAGCCAGGGGAGCAAACGGG